rnacentral:rRNA from 1 species
UACGUAGGGUGCAAGCGUUAAUCGGAAUUACUGGGCGUAAAGCGUGCGCAGGCGGUUAUGUAAGACAGGGGUGAAAUCCCCGGGCUUAACCUGGGAACUGCAUUUGUGACUGCAUAGCUAGAGUACGGUAGAGGGGGAUGGAAUUCCGCGUGUAGCAGUGAAAUGCGUAGAUAUGCGGAGGAACACCGGUGGCGAAGGCGGGUCUCUGGGCCACUACUGACGCUGAGGAGCGAAAGCGUGGGGAGCAAACAGG